AGAAAAAAAAAAGUAGUAAAUAAAUUCACUAAAAAAAAAUAAGUGGUAGAAUUAACUAGGUUGAGCUCAUUAGUACUCGAGUAAUUAAGUCUGAGGGGACUUUGUGCCUAACAACCUAAAGCCCUUCGUGGUUUGGGAUUGUUGACCCAACGCUCGCUACAUGGGUACUAGUGCAUAAAUCUUUAGGGAUCUCAACCAUUGCACGGUUAAAUAAACCACUAGAAUAGAGUGAAUAAUUGGUGUGUG
rnacentral:lncRNA from 1 species